UACGGAGGGGGCAAGCGUUGUUCGGAAUCACUGGGCUUAAAGCGCGUGUAGGCGGGAUGCUUAGUGGUUUGUGAAAUCCCCCGGCUCAACCGGGGAACUGCUUGGCAAACGGGCAUUCUUGAGGCAGGUAGAGGUGACCGGAACGACUGGUGGAGCGGUGAAAUGGGUAGAUAUCAGUUGGAACGCCGGAGGCGAAAGCGGGUCACUGGGCCGGUCCUGACGCUGAGACGCGAAAGCGUGGGUAGCAAACAGU
rnacentral:rRNA from 1 species